rnacentral:tRNA from 1 species
GGGGGUGUAGCUCAGUUGGGAGAGCGCUUGCUUUGCAAGCAAGAUGUCAUGGGUUCAAGUCCCUUCACCUCCA